GGCAACUUGGCCGAGCGGUUAUGGCGCCAGUUUCAGGUUCACCUGAUUCAUCUGAUCUCAUCAAAUUACUGGUUCGAAAGAGCGUGGGUUCGAAUCCCACAGUUGUCA
rfam:Pseudogymnoascus pannorum VKM F-4518 (FW-2643) contig_2078, whole genome shotgun sequence.